rnacentral:rRNA from 1 species
UACGUAGGUGGCAAGCGUUGUCCGGAAUCAUUGGGCGUAAAGAGCGUGUAGGCGGCUCGGUAAGUCCGCUGUGAAAGUCCAGGGCUCAACCCUGGAAUGCCGGUGGAAACUGUCGAGCUAGAGUCCGGAAGAGGCGAGUGGAAUUCCUGGUGUAGCGGUGAAAUGCGCAGAUAUCAGGAGGAACACCAAUGGCGAAGGCAGCUCGCUGGGACGGUACUGACGCUGAGACGCGAAAGCGUGGGGAGCAAACAGG